GACGUAGGUGGCGAGCGUUAUUCGGAAUUACUAGGCGUAAAGCGAGUGUAGGCGGGCGCUUAAGUCCGUCGUGAAAUCUCCCGGCCUAACUGGGAGGGGUCGAUGGAUACUGGGCGUCUAGAGUGGGGUAGGGGGUAGUGGAAUUCUCGGUGUAGCGGUGAAAUGCGUAGAUAUCGAGAGGAACACCUAUGGCGAAAGCAGCUGCCUGGGCCCUUACUGACGCUGAGACUCGAAAGCUAGGGGAG
rnacentral:rRNA from 1 species